AUACCAUGGUGAGGGCAAGCUCUUGUGUAUCCCUUCAGACGCUCCCAUGCAUCAUACAAACUCCCUUCUUCGCCUAGCUCGAAUCUAGGUAUAUCAUUCCUUAUCUU
rfam:Arabis alpina cultivar Pajares Aa.chr7_contig_1820, whole genome shotgun sequence.